AGCAGCCGCGGUAAUACGUAGGGUGCAAGCGUUAAUCGGAAUUACUGGGCGUAAAGCGUGCGCAGGCGGUUAUAUAAGACAGAUGUGAAAUCCCCGGGCUCAACCUGGGAACUGCAUUUGUGACUGUAUAGCUAGAGUACGGCAGAGGGGGAUGGAAUUCCGCGUGUAGCAGUGAAAUGCGUAGAUAUGCGGAGGAACACCGAUGGCGAAGGCAAUCCCCUGGGCCUGUACUGACGCUCAUGCACGAAAGCGUGGGGAGCAAACAGGAUUAGAUACCCCUGUAGUCCCUGUCUCUUAUACA
rnacentral:rRNA from 1 species